UUUUUCUUCUUCAAUCUCUGUAUUCCAAUGGAUUCUUCAUCAUAUCCUCACAAACAUCCUAUACUCCAUUCGCCCUUCUAGGCAUAUGAUCGAUCAAGGGUUCCUUUGGUUUGAGCUCAAGUAGUGGCGGCUUCAACUAGGGUUCUAUUGCAGAACCGAUCUGAUUUGAAUACCGGCGGCUAAGAGGUGUUUGAUGAUCCUAUGAAAAAUUUAGCAAACCAGGGAAGAAAAGAAGAUUUGAAAAUUCACAAUAGAUAGCAUUAACCAUUUUCAUAAGUUGGCAUAACAGAAGAAAAGUGGAGAUAGUUAUAUCUGGAGCUUCUAACCAUAAGAUUUAUCAUUACUAUUUAGGGAGUGGGAGCUACAUGGCCUAUGAGAAGCACAUGGAAUACACGGAGAGAAUUACAUCCAACUAUCAGGAUGGCGAUACUAAAAGAUGUUUGCUCUGUUUGUGUAAGGUAACCCAAAUCUAUUGCUCAUGUUGAGUUGAGUUCGAGAUCUUUUCAAGUUGUGGUCAUGUUGAGACGAAUGAU